UGAGGAAUAUUGGUCAAUGGGCGGGAGCCUGGACCAGCCAAGCCGCGUGAGGGAAGAAGGCCCUAUGGGUCGUAAACCUCUUUUGUCAGGGAACAAAAGCGAGUAUGUAUACUGGUCUGAGCGUACCUGAAGAAAAAGCAUCGGCUAACUCCGUGCCAGCAGCCGCGGUAAUACGGAGGAUGCGAGCGUUAUCCGGAUUUAUUGGGUUUAAAGGGUGCGUAGGCGGCGGUGCAAGUCAGCGGUAAAAGCCCGGGGCUCAACCCCGGCGAGCCGUUGAAACUGCAGUGCUAGAGAAGGCGAGAGGUACGCGGAAUGCGCAGUGUAGCGGUGAAAUGCUUAGAUAUUGCGCAGAACUCCGAUUGCGAAGGCAGCGUACUGGCGCCUGACUGACGCUGAGGCACGAAAGCGUGGGGAUCGAACAGGAUUAGAUACC
rnacentral:rRNA from 1 species